rnacentral:lncRNA from 1 species
GGCAGCAGCGUAGGUGGUGUCAACAGGAAGCUUCAGUUUGCUUUCUGAGCAGAGAUUUUUAAAUGGUCAUUUGAACUGUAGUUUCACAUGACUUCUGAAAGUAUGUUUUUUUUUUUUUUUUUUCUUUCUGGAAGGUCUCAUGGUUUUAAAAAAAUAUAUCCUGUGGUAUCCUCACCAGUUGGUCUGCCUGCUUUCUCUAGCCACCUCAAGUCUUCCUGCACAGCAUCCUAUAAUGAAGAUUGUCUAACACUGAAUAUUACAGGCUACUUAUGGGCGGUAAUUAAAUGUGUGCAGUAGACGCUAAGAAUCUUACAUAUGUAUCGAGUUUCAGCUSCUCUAUUGCAACUCGCUGUCAAUUUCAUUGUUGAAUGAGGCAGUUGCAUUUAAAUACUAUUGAGGUGAGUACGUGUGAUGGGACACCAACUAACUGAUGCUGCGUAGUGAAUGGAAUACUGUCGUUCUUGACUUCUCGUUGUUUGGAUUUGCUGUCUUAAUUGCAGGUGUGGGGAUGAACACCACUUUAACCUGUAUGCUAAAGCUUACUUUCUAAUCAACUUGUUAAAUGUCUGAACAGUGCCACUUAAAACAGCUUCACAGAAUUCCUGACUUUUUAAUACCCCUUGUUUCUUAAGAGCCUUGUAGCUUCUGAGACCUGAAUGUGUGGACAUAAUCUGUAUUUAAGAACUGUUCCUUUUCCAGCUAAUACAGUGACUUAUAUCUGCAAGUAUCCAGUGUAUAAUGGGAAGGUAAGGGACUUACCUCUUCUGGAGGGCAGUAAGGCAGAAUGAAAGCCAUCUCAAGGUUUGCUUCUGAAGAUGGUUAACUCUUCUAAUGUAGGUGACAAGAUGAUGAAAAAGUGGAAGGUCACAGUCACUAAGUAAGUGGAACAACCUGGUGCAGGGAGAAUAAUCAAGGAGAGAGACAAGGGCUUGUGAAUCAUCCAUAUGUUUGAUGUUAAUCUUCUGUGAAUGUUGCCCUCAAGUGCUCUUAAAAAGCUCCUGGUAGCAAUAUCAUUGACUUGUGUGGUGAUUUACUCUAAAAUUAGCAUGUAGGUGUUAACUUACUUGUGGCUUUAAUAUAAA